AGCUUAGUGGCGAACGGGUGAGUAACGCGUGAGUAACCUGCCCUAUAGUGGGGGACAACAGUUGGAAACGACUGCUAAUACCGCAUAAGCCCACGGUACCGCAUGGCACUGAGGGAAAAGGAUUUAUUCGCUUUAGGAUGGACUCGCGUCCAAUUAGCUAGUUGGUGAGGUAACGGCCCACCAAGGCAACGAUUGGUAGCCGGACUGAGAGGUUGAACGGCCACAUUGGGACUGAGACACGGCCCAGACUCCUACGGGAGGCAGCAGUGGGGGAUAUUGCACAAUGGGGGAAACCCUGAUGCAGCGACGCCGCGUGGAGGAAGAAGGUUUUCGGAUUGUAAACUCCUGUCGUUAGGGACGAUAAUGACGGUACCUAACAAGAAAGCACCGGCUAACUACGUGCCAGCAGCCGCGGUAAAACGUAGGGUGCAAGCGUUGUCCGGAAUUACUGGGUGUAAAGGGAGCGCAGGCGGGAAGACAAGUUGGAAGUGAAAACCAUGGGCUCAACCCAUGAAUUGCUUUCAAAACUGUUUUUCUUGAGUAGUGCAGAGGUAGAUGGAAUUCCCGGUGUAGCGGUGGAAUGCGUAGAUAUCGGGAGGAACACCAGUGGCGAAGGCGGUCUACUGGGCACCAACU
rnacentral:rRNA from 1 species